rnacentral:lncRNA from 1 species
AGGAUUUUAUCGCAGUCGCGAACACAUCCUCCUAACUUAGUGUUUCUAUCCAUAUUGCGCCACUUACUAAGCCCACCAGAUCUGCCAAACUGGGCAACUCCAUUUUGCUAUCGUCCGCUACAAAUCUGGCAGCCGCUAGUCUAUAGAGGUUCCCACAACAAUUGUCUGGUAAAGCUGGAACAAUUUUCCCACGCAAGUUAGUAGAAUGGACCGCGAGGGAAGUCCUCAGGUGUCCAUGUUUUCCUUGACUUACCCCAUGAGAGCUCUCCACAUGAGUGAUGUCACCACAUUAACUCGUGAAACUUGAUGCUUCAAGCCGGGACCAGGAGUACUAGUCUCAGAAUUGGCUUUGGCUUUGGCUUUGAGCGACGAUAUGUUGGCCCCAUCAAACAUGAACCUCAUGGUCACAAACUUUUCUGCUCCAUGGAUCUUUGGGGGAGGCGGGGACUUGAGUGUUGGUAAGUCUUUUGCAGGCAAGAGAGAAGCCAAACUGAAACAUGGCAAAAUUGCUUCAUUUAUCCCUUCGCUGCUUGCAGUUGCCCAUGUACUAAUGAAUUUAGAUGUCGUGAAUCCAUCAACAAGGGUGUGGGAAAUGCGUACUCCAAUCACUAGCCCUCCGCAUUCAAGCAUGGUGGUUUGAAUUGUUAUUAGCGGACUUGUGAAUUUUCCACCUACGAAAUGAAUCACCUCCUCUAUAAUCUCAUCUCUCUUGCUUAGAAGUUGAGUGAGUUGGGCAUCCACUUUGGCCUCCAAAUAUUCGGCUCCUUGGUCGUUACACUCAACCGAAUGACUAUCUUUGAUAUAUGUUCCCGCUAGUGGGUAGAAUCGAGUCAAGGUCUCAGACAACGAUUUCUCCAAACGUUGGCAUCUUUCAACAUUUUCAACUUUGCUGCUGGUGCCAUGAGUGGGAUAGUAGAAUACAAAAGCUACUUUGACUUGAGGUACGAGUUGAUCAAUUGGGGAUAGCUUCCAAGUGCGGAGAUGGGAUGGCGUUGGAGACGAUGGUUUUAUUAACUUCCUGGAUAGGAUUUGGACCUCCAUUGUUGGGUGGACUACAAUCAAAUUUUGACACAAAAAGGAAAAUUUCGAAAUGGGGAAAACUUGGAAUAAUUAACUGUCAACUGGAAUGUUUGGAAAGGCAUCUUAUGUAUAUAUAGAUGAGAAAAAAUGGGCAUCUUGAAAGAAAGGGUUAUUAUUAUUACCCAAUUUGUUAUUUGUAACGUCAUUUUUUACUAAUGCAGUAUUUUACAUUCUUAAAAUACACUCCCUUAUUCCUUCCCCCUCUCUUUCCUCUCUCCUCUCCCCUCUCUCCUCCCCAACCUCAUGUCCUAAUUGCAACACUUAUUUUAUUUUUUUUUUUAUUUUUUUUCCCCAACCCCCACCUCAUAUUUUAGCAUUUUUUUUCUUUUAUUUUUAUCUUCCUCUUCAUCUCUACCCACCCAACCCCCCACCCCACAUAAACUUUGGUUUUUUUUUCUUUUCAUUUCUUUUAUUUUUUCACACUCAAUUAUUUUUCAUAUUCUUCUUAUAUUUUAAAAUAAAAUAAUUUCUUUAAAUAAUAAAUUAUAAAAUGAUUUUUUCACAAAAAGUAUAUUAUGUAAAAUGAUUUUAUUAAACAAAUAAAUGAAUUAGAAUUUUAUAAUUAUUAUAAGCAAAAAUUUAUGUCAUGAAGAAUUUUCUAACUAUUAUAAACGAAAAGUAAUUUAGUAACUAUUAUAAACAAAAAAAAAAAAAUCGAUUUUUAUAAUUAUUAUAAGCAAAAAAUUUAGCCCAACCAUCGCCGUCGAUGGUCAUCGACUUCCAUCCCUACUCCAAACCCUAGCCGUCGCCGUCGUUGCAACCUCCCAAGAUGCUGGAGCCCCACUCGGGUCGAUGGAGCUCCGCCCAAGUCGUCGGUUUUAUAAAUCUUAUUUGAAAAUUGUCAUCAAAUGAUUGAAUUUUGUAAUUCAUUAUAUUUCGUAUGUGAUUCACAGCCUUAAUCAACUAGAAUUUAGGUUCAAUAUGUUGAGAGGAGGUUAGAUAGAAUUUUUUUAUUAUUAUUAUUAAAAAUGGUAUAUGUGAAAAAAAAUAUGACAAAAAAGUGUUACGUUUAGCACAAGGAAUGUUGCGAAUAGCAACUUGUAGACCCCAAAAUUUGUCCCUUUUUAUUUUUAUUUUUUAGAUUAACUUUGAGCCCAAUUUUGUUCUUAGAUUUUAAAUUCCAAUUACAUGUAUUUUUUUUUUUUUGCCUACUCACCAUUUAAUAGCUUUUAUUAUUUUGUAUAUCAUUUUAUUUUAUUUUAUUACUAAUACUUUUAUUUUAUUAUUAUUAUUACUAUUACUAUUAUUAUUACUAUUACUAUUAUUAUUAUUAUUAUUAUUAUUAUUAUUAUUAUUAUUAUUAUAUCUAUUUUAUUUUUCUCUCUCCUCUCUCCUCUCUCUUCCUACUUUCCAACCACCCCACCCACUUUUUCUCUCUCUUCCUAUUCUUCCCACAUGGCCUGCCCCUCUCUCUCCCUCCCUCCCCCCCCAUUUUUUUCUCCCUAUUUUGCCCCUCAUUUUUUCCCUCCUCUCUCAUCUCUGUUAUUUCCUCCUUUCCCCUUACCAAGAUAUGGCGGAUCCCCUCCCCCACUCUGAUUUUUUUUUCCUCAUUUCCCUUUACCGAGACAUGGCGGACCCCCCCUCCCCCCCUCUGGUUUUUAUUUUUUUUUUUUUUGGCCGNNNNNNNNNNNNNNNNNNNNNNNNNNNNNNNNNNNNNNNNNNNNNNNNNNNNNNNNNNNNNNNNNNNNNNNNNNNNNNNNNNNNNNNNNNNNNNNNNNNNUUUUUUUUUUUUGGCCGCCUCCCUGGAUUGAAGAAUUUUUUUUUCUCCUCAUUUCCCCUUACCGAGACACGGCGGACCCCCCUCCCCCACUUUGAUUUUUUUUUUUCUUUUUGGUCGCCCCCCCACCCCACUCUGAUUUUUUUAUUUCUUUUUGGCCACCCUCCUGGAUUGAAGAGUUUUUUUUUUUUUUCUUUUUCCAUUUUAGGUUUUUUCUUUUCUUCCUCCAUUCCUCUUCUUCUUCCCAUGACCAACCCCCCAUUUUUUCUUCUAUUCCUCCUCUAUUCUCCAUUUUUUCUUUUUUAGAUUAUUAAAUGAAGAUUUUACUCCACUCAACCUAAGGUAAUAUCAAAUAUGUAUAUUUUUAUUUUUAUUAAUUCUGUACUUGAGAAUAUAAUUAUAAUUUAACAAUAAUAAAAUUUAUGGGUACUUGUGUUUUAUCAAGCACGCCUACCUCAUUUAUUUCCACAACUUCCACAACCACAGAUGACUUCAGUUCAAAAGCAAAACCCUAACAUGCAGAGGAUUAAUGGCAUCAUGCUGGCCCACAAGAAGUAAAGGUCGUAAGGUUUGCAUCACUCUGGAAUUGAAGCAUGUCAUGUUCUUUGAGGCUCACCCACGCUUCAACUCCAUCACCGCAUUCUGUGUCCUGCAGGCUAACCAUUUCUAAAGGAGUAGCACAUCUACUCACCCAGCAGGGCUUCCCCCACCCAAAAUCAACUUCAUUCAGAGGGAACUUGCACCAGCUAGUGAACAUUCGCACAUCUACCUCCUCUUUACCCAAUUCUUCGUUUACCUCAUUAAAGGAUUUUAUCGCAGUCGGGAACACAUCCUCCUGACUUAGUGUUUCUGUCCAUAUUGCGCCACUUACUAAGCCUACCAGAUCUGCCAAACUGGGCAACUCCAUUUUGCUAUCGUCCACUACAAAUCUGGCAACCGCUAGUUUAUAGAGGUUCCCACAACAAUUGUCUGGUAAAGCUGGAACAAUUUUCCCACGCAAGUUAGCAGAAUGGACCGCAAGGGAAGUCCUCAGGCGUCCAUGUUUUCCUUGACUUACCCCAAUGAGAGCUCUCCAUAUGAGUGCUGUCACCACCUCAACUCGUGAAACUUGAUGCUUCAAGCUGGGACCAGGAGUACUAGUCUUAGAAUUAGCUUUGGCUUUGGCUUUGAGCGACGAUAU